CCUACGGGCGGCAGCAGUAGGGAAUCUUCCACAAUGGACGAAAGUCUGAUGGAGCAACGCCGCGUGAGUGAAGAAGGGUUUCGGCUCGUAAAACUCUGUUGUUAAAGAAGAACAUAUCUGAGAGUAACUGUUCAGGUAUUGACGGUAUUUAACCAGAAAGCCACGGCUAACUACGUGCCAGCAGCCGCGGUAAUACGUAGGUGGCAAGCGUUGUCCGGAUUUAUUGGGCGUAAAGCGAGCGCAGGCGGUUUUUUAAGUCU
rnacentral:rRNA from 1 species